rnacentral:snRNA from 1 species
AUCACUUCUCGGCCUUUUGGCUAAGAUCAAGUGUAGGACCAUGUCUAUGCAGAAUCAUUCUUGCAGUUUUCCAUUGGAUUUUGCCAUGUCUAUUUUACUAUUAAUUAAAACGCAGAUAUCUUAA